rnacentral:rRNA from 1 species
GUUCCUACGGGACGCAGCAGUGGGGAAUAUUGCACAAUGGGGGAAACCCUGAUGCAGCGACGCCGCGUGAGUGAAGAAGUAAUUCGUUACGUAAAGCUCUAACAGCAGGGAAGAAAAUGACGGUACCUGACCAAGAAGCCCCGGCUAACUACGUGCCAGCAGCCGCGGUAAUACGUAGGGGGCAAGCGUUAUCCGGAAUUACUGGGUGUAAAGGGAGCGUAGACGGUUAAGUAAGUCUGGAGUGAAAGGCCGGGGCCCAACCCCGGGACUGCUCUGGAAACUAUUUAACUUGAGUGCAGGAGGGG